ACUGAGAGCAACAUAAAUCUCAACUUCUCAACAGCCAAAUCCUUUGCUGCAAAACUUGCUCAAAUCUGAACUCAAGUCCAAAUCCUUUGCAAAGAAUCGAAACAUGGCUUUGGUUGGAGAGGCUAUUCUCUCUGCCUCCGUGCAGGUGCUGUUUGACAAGAUUGGUUCCAGCGAGUUCGUGGACUUGUUCCGGAGAAAGAAACUGGACGAGUCGCUUGUGAAGAAACUGGAGAUAACGUUGUUGAGCCUUAAAGCGGUGCUUAAUGACGCGGAGGAGAAGCAAUUCCUGAACAGCUACGUGAAAGAGUGGCUUGAUAAGCUUCAAGAUGCUGUCUUUGAUGCGGAUGACCUUCUCGAUGAGAUCAAUGCUGAAGUUUUGCGAUGCAAGGUGGAAGCUGAAUUUCAAACCGUCACAAAUAAGGUGUGGAACUUCCUCCCUACUUAUCUUAAUCAUAAUUAUCAAGGCAUGAAUGGUAGGAUUCAAGAGUUGCUUGAAAGGUUAGAGCACCUUGCAAAGCAAAAGGAUUUCCUUGGGCUGAGAGAAGGUGUUGUUGGGGGGAAGAUUUCACAAAGAACUCCAACAACUUCCUUGGUGGAUGAAUCUUGUGUGUACGGUAGGGAUGGAGAUAAAGAAAAGCUGAUGAAACUGUUGUUAUCUGAUGAUGCAAGCGACAAGGAUGUAUCUGUCAUCACCAUAGUGGGAAUGGGCGGGGUUGGCAAGACAACCCUUGCUCAGCUCCUUUAUAAUGAUGACAAAGUGAAAGAGCAUUUUAAUCUUAGAACUUGGGCUUAUGUUUCGGAAGAUUUCGAUGUUACUAGGGUAACUAAAACUCUACUUGAGUCAGUCAGUUCAAAAACUUAUGAUAAUAAAGACCUGAGUUUUCUUCAAGUUGAGCUAGGACAACAAAUAAAGGGCAAGAAAUUUUUAUUUGUGUUGGAUGACCUUUGGAAUGAGAACUAUGGUGAUUUGAGUCUCCUACAACGUCCUUUUGCAUCCGGAGCAAGGGGAAGUAGGGUUAUUGUGACAACACGGAACAAAAGUGUUGCAUCUCUCGUGCGCACCGUUCCAAUUCACUAUUUGAAACAGUUGUCUGAUGAGGAUUGCUGGUUGUUACUUUCAAAACAUGCCUUUGAAAAUGGAAACUCAAGUGCACAUCUAGAGCUGGAAGAAGUUGGUAAGAAAAUUGCUUCUAAGUGCAACGGUUUACCAUUAGCUGCAGAGACACUUGGAGGCCUCUUACGUUUCAACACAGAUUAUGAGGAAUGGAAUAACAUAUUAAAUAGCAAUAUUUGGGAGCUACCCCAUGAGAAAUGCAACACAAUUCCGGCUUUAAGAUUGAGUUACCAUUAUCUCCCAACUUAUUUAAAACGAUGCUUUGCUUAUUGCUCAAUUUUCCCAAAAGGCUAUGAAUUCCAAAAGGAAGAUGUAGUUCUACUUUGGGUGGCAGAAAGUUUAAUUCCACAAGCUGAGAGUGAAAAAAGAAUGGAAGAGCUCACUAAGAAAUACUUUGAUGACUUAUUAUCACGGUCAUUUUUUCAAAGAUCAAGAUAUGUGAAAUCACAGUUCACAAUGCAUGAUCUCAUCAAUGACUUAGCUAUGUCUGUGUUUAGGGAAUCCUGUUUGAGAUGGGAAGGGGGCGAAUCACAUGAAGUUUUGAAAAGAGUUCGACAUUUGUCGUAUGCUAGAGGGCACUUUGAUUGUGCUGCGAAAUUUGAGCCAUUAUAUGAGGUUAAGAAUUUGCGAACCUUCCUACCUCUAAGAUCACACAUGUCUCCGCGUUAUGUAAGUAAAAGGGUUUUACAUGAGUUAGUGCCAUCUCUAUUAUGUUUACGGGUGUUAAAGUUGUCAAAAUAUAAUAAUAUUGUUGAGUUACCCAAUUCUAUUGGUAACCUCAUUCAUUUGCGCUACUUGAAUCUCUCUAAUACUGGAAUCAAAAGGUUACCUUCCACAGUUUGCACUCUCUACAAUCUACAGACAUUACUAUUAUCAUAUUGUUCCUCUCUAAUUGAAUUGCCUACAGACAUGAGGAAAUUGAUUAACUUGAGGCAUCUUGAUUGUAGUGGAACACAAAUUGAAGAGAUGCCGGUGCAAAUGGGUACACUAAAAAGUUUGAGAACAUUGACUACUUUUUUUGUGGGGAAAUCUAACGGGUCGACUAUUGGAGAAUUGAGGGAGUUGUCUCAUCUUGAAGGAAAACUUUCUAUUUUGAAGCUUAAUAAUGUAGUUGAUGGUAGGGAUGCCUGGCGAGCUAAUUUGAAAAACAAGAAAGAUCUCAAGGAGUUAGAGUUGGCAUGGAGCUCCGAAGAUGCCGAUCAUUCCGAAAAGGUGAGAGAUGUACUUGACAAGCUCCAACCUUGCAUGAAUUUGGAGAAAUUGACAAUCAAACUUUAUGGUGGGACCAGCUUCCCAAACUGGUUGGGAGACUCUGCCUUCAAUAAAAUAAAAGUUAUGCACCUCAAAGACUGUCAUUAUUGCUUCGAGUUGCCACCGCUUGGACAGCUACCUGCUCUUAAGGAGCUCGUCAUAUGUAAGAUGAAAUUUCUUAGGACGUUAGGUCCUGAGUUGUAUGGUCAGCCAUUUCAGCCAUUUCAAUCGUUGGAGAGGCUGGAGUUUACGGAGAUGGCAGAGUGGGAGGAAUGGGUACCAAGUGGGAGUGGAGGUCCAGACUUUCCUCAUCUCCAGGAGCUAAUUCUAGAAAUGUGUCCGAAGCUGAGAGGAAGCUUGCCUUGUGAUCUGCCUUGCUUGAAGAAGCUUAGCGUGGAAGGGUGUGGAGUUUUACAUGAUCAAAGGGCCACUGCUGCUACUAGUACUAGUACCAAUCUCAACUACAAUUCUCUUCAAGAAUUGAAAAUAGAAGAUGGAUGCCAAACAGGUCUGUUAUCAUUACUAGAGACAAAACUCCUGUCCCGACUUAGGAUUAUAAAUUUUAAUGACAUACAAUGCUUGCCCAACAUCAAUCAUCUUCAAAGUUUGACUCUCUGGAAUUGUCCAACCCUGUCGUCGUUCCCUGAAGAUGGCCUACCCACUUCGUUGACUUCACUUAGGAUAUACAGUUGUAGGAGAUUAGAAUUCCUACCUCAUGAGAUGUUGGCCCAAUUAACAUCGCUUCUCUCUUUGAGUCUAGUGAAUAGCUGUGAUUCAAUGAGGUCCUUCCCCUUGGGCAUUUUUCCCAAAUUGACGACACUUGAUAUUGGCAAUUGUGAGAAUCUGGAAUCGCUUUGCUUGAUUGAAGAAGAAGGAGCGGUUGAGAAUCUAAGUCAUCUCAAUCAAUUGGAUAUCUUCGGGUGUCCAAAUUUGGUGUGUUUUUCGCAGGGAGGAUUGCCCACUCCCAACCUGAGUCAAUUGGACCUCAGCAGAUGCGAUAAGUUAAAGUCAUUACCUGAACGCAUUCACACCCUCACAGCCCUUGAAGCAUUGUGGAUAAGGAAUCUUCAAAAUAUGGAGUCAAUUGCAGAAGAUGGGGGUUUGCCUCCCAACCUCCGAGAUUUGAGCAUUGAGAAUUGUGAGAGACUGAGGGCUUCAUCUUCAUCAGUGGGAGACUACUGUAACUGGGGUUUGCAAGCACUUGUCUCCCUUGAACAAUUUACAAUUGGUGGCAGGGGAAGUGAUGAAAUCUUGGAGACGUUGCUCAAGCAACAGCUGCUCCCUACCACUCUUCGCUUUCUCAGGUUCUCUUCAUUAUCAACUCUGAAAUCUUUGGAUGGAAAGGGACUUGCACACCUUACUUUUCUUCGAAUUCUAUCUAUUAAUUGUUGUAAGAGUCUGGAAUUCCUGCCAGGAGAGGCACUUCAACACCUCACUUCUCUUCAAAGGCUAGUAAUUAGUCGGUGUGACAAUCCCCAAUUCCUGCCAGGAGAGGCACUUCAACACCUCACUUCUCUUCAAAGGCUAGAAAUUAGUUAUUGUGACAAUUUCCAAUUCCUGCCAGAAGAGGAUCUGCCGCCAUCUCUUUCUUAUCUGAGCAUCUACAAAUGUUCCGGCCUGGAGAAAAGGUAUCAGAAUAAGACAAGACAAGAUCAUUGGGCCAACAUAUCUCACAUUCCAUGCAUCAAGAUAAAUGAUGAAGUCAUCAUAUGAUGAUAUGACCUCUCUCUUUCUCACAUAGAGACAAACAAACUCUAGUCAGAUGUUUGGAGGUCAAAGCAACUUAUAUAGGCAACCAGGCCCGAGGAGAGUUUACCAUUGUAUAUGGAUUUUUGUUUUUCUACAAACAAAUUGCGGCAAAGAAGGGGAAGGAAAUGUUGUCAAGGUGGAGCUCUUGCAAGAGACCAGCAUUUGGACAAUGUGGUAAACGGAUCUCAAUCUAACAUAACAAGCAUUACUGUCCAUUCAUGAUUAGGGUGGGAGGAAUGAAGACCAGAAGGCCGGUGUCCAGAUUUUCCUCAUCCCAAGGAGCUGACUUUAGACAAGUGUGGGGUUCUACAUGAUGAAAGGGCCACUACUACUCGUAACAUGGACUACUUAUCUCUUGAAGAAUUAGAAAUAUAUGAUGGAUGCCCAGGUCUGUUCUCGUUACUAGAGACAAAGUUCCUGUUCGUGUUCCUAUUUGAUACGAUGCCAUUUCCAAUUCAAACUUUUCAGGAGCAUCUAGUUGAGCUGAGGUAUGCAUGGGAAGUGAAAGCACUCAAGUAACCGUCCAUAUUAAAAAGCUAUUAGAAGAAGCAGGCUUUUCGAAAUUUGAUCUGGAACAGAGUGGGAGAAAACAAAUGAAGGUUUCUUUCAUGUCACUGCCCGAGGAGAGUUUACUGUUGUAUAUAGAUUUUUGUUUUUCUACAAACAAAUUGUGGCAAACAAAGGGGAAGGAAAUCUUCUCCAGGUGGAGCUCUAGCAACAGACCAGCAUUU